rnacentral:rRNA from 1 species
UACAGAGGUGGCGAGCGUUGUCCGGAUUUACUGGGCGUAAAGAGCGCGCAGGCGGCUGGGCAAGUCCGAUGUGAAAGCUUCCGGCUUAACUGGAAAAUUGCAUCGGAAACUGCUCGGCUUGAAGGUGGGAGAGGGUAGCGGAAUUCCCGGUGUAGUGGUGAAAUGCGUAGAUAUCGGGGAGGAACACCAGUGGCGUAAGCGAUCACCUGGGCUAGACCUGACGCUGAGGGACGGAAGGCGUGGGGAGCAAACGGG